rnacentral:rRNA from 1 species
AGCGAACGCUGGCGGCAGGCUUAACACAUGCAAGUCGAACGGGCACUUCGGUGCUAGUGGCAGACGGGUGAGUAACACGUGGGAACGUACCUUUCGGUUCGGAAUAAUUCAGGGAAACUUGGACUAAUACCGGAUAAGCCCUUCGGGGGAAAGAUUUAUCGCCGAUAGAUCGGCCCGCGUCUGAUUAGCUAGUUGGUGAGGUAACGGCUCACCAAGGCGACGAUCAGUAGCUGGUCUGAGAGGAUGAUCAGCCACAUUGGGACUGAGACACGGCCCAAACUCCUACGGGAGGCAGCAGUGGGAAUAUUGGACAAUGGGCGAAAGCCUGAUCCAGCCAUGCCGCGUGUGUGAUGAAGGCCUUAGGGUUGUAAAGCACUUUGUCCGGGAAGAUAAUGACUGUACCGGAAGAAUAAGCCCCGGCUAACUUCGUGCCAGCAGCCGCG